rnacentral:rRNA from 1 species
GACGAACGCUGGCGGCGUGCUUAACACAUGCAAGUCGAACGGAAAGGCCCUGCUUUUGUGGGGUGCUCGAGUGGCGAACGGGUGAGUAACACGUGAGUAACCUGCCCUUGACUUUGUGAUAACUUCAGGAAACUGGGGCUAAUACCGGAUAGGAGCUCCUGCUGCAUGUUGGGGGUUGGAAAGUUUCGGCGGUUGGGGAUGGACUCGCGGCUUAUCAGCUUGUUUGUGGGGUAGUGGUUUUCCAAGCCUUUGACGGGUAGGCUGCCUUGGAGGGUGACCGGCCACCAUGGGACUGCGAUACGGCCCAGAAUCCUACGGGCGGCAGCAGUGGGGAAUUUUGCAGAAUGGGCCGAAGCCUGAUGCGGCAACGCCGCGUGCGGGAUGCCGGCCUUCUGGUUGUAAACCGCUUUCGACUGUGACGAAGCGUGAGUGACGGUAAUGGGUAAAGAAGCACCGGCUAACUACGUG